rnacentral:rRNA from 1 species
GACGAACGCUGGCGGCGUGCCUAAUACAUGCAAGUUGAGCGCUGAAGGUUGGUACUUGUACCAACUGGAUGAGCAGCGAACGGGUGAGUAACGCGUGGGGAAUCUGCCUUUGAGCGGGGGACAACAUUUGGAAACGAAUGCUAAUACCGCAUAAAAACUUUAAACACAAGUUUUAAGUUUGAAAGAUGCAAUUGCAUCACUCAAAGAUGAUCCCGCGUUGUAUUAGCUAGUUGGUGAGGUAAAGGCUCACCAAGGCGAUGAUACAUAGCCGACCUGAGAGGGUGAUAGGCCACAUUGGGACUGAGACACGGCCCAAACUCCUACGGGAGGCAGCAGUAGGGAAUCUUCGGCAAUGGACGAAAGUCUGAUCGAGCAACGCCGCGUGAGUGAAGAAGGUUUUCGGAUCGUAAAACUCUGUUGGUAGAGAAGAACGUUGGUGAGAGUGGAAAGCUCAUCAAGUGACGGUAACUACCCAGAAAGGGACGGCUAACUACGUG